CUAACAGCUUUUAAAAGCUUUGUAUGAUUAGUUGAACCAGUGAAGUCACAUGGAAUUUUUUGGUUCCUUUUCUGGAUUUUGAGCAUGUCAGGACCCUCAUUGUCUAUGGAGGAUGACAGAGCUUCUCAUUUCAUCUAUAAAAUUUUAAUUUGUGUUCAGAAGCUGAAGGAAGGUCUCAGGAAAAUCACAAGGCGAUGCUGUCGGUUCGCAUUUGGAUCUAUUCCCGUUCCCGACGGAUGAUCCGGAAGUGGGCGUUCGAAAGCCAAAAAAGGUGGCAUGGUGACACGGUGGUGCAGUGGGUAGAGCUGUCGUAUCACAGCAAGAAGGUCGCAGGUUCAAGCCCCUGCUGGGUCAGUUGCCAUUUCUGUGUGGAGUUUGCAUGCUCUCCC